rnacentral:rRNA from 1 species
UACGGGGGGGGGCAAGCGUUGUUCGGAAUUACUGGGCGUAAAGGGUUCGUAGGUGGCCAACUAAGUCAGACGUGAAAUCCCUCAGCUUAACUGGGGGAACUGCGUCUGAGACUGGAUGGCUUGAGUGCAGGAGAGGAACGCGGAAUUCCAGGUGUAGCGGUGAAAAUGCGUAGAUAUCUGGAGGAACACCGGUGGCGAAGGCGGCGUUCUGGACUGCUACUGACACUGAGGAACGAAAGCCAGGGGAGCAAAACGGG